CUGAAAUAAAAUACAUUAAAUACAUUAAAUCUCUCAAUAUUUAGCUAACAGGUAUUUCUGCAUGGCUGUCAACAGAGAAAGAUGCUCUUUGCAGGCAGAUGGUGUAGUUAUUAACUUGCAAGCAUGCUAAAAUCACAAGUUAUUUGUACUCUUUGUAUGCAUGUACUAAUCUGUGGUCUACAGACAUACAUGCACAUCCCACUAUUUCACACUGAUCUAGAAUCAGAUUGCUCAGGUCACAUCUUAUUCACAAUAUGACAGGAAGCACAAACACAGACCUCAGAUAUCUGUGAAAAGGCUCGUGUACACGCCUCAUGUUAAAGGAAGUAGAUGCUGUGCAAGUUUUGUUAGUUUAAAAAAUAUUGAGUUCCUUUUGCACACCAGUAGAGCCAUCAAAGCUGCUUAAGAGUAUAGUAAUGACUUAAACUAGGAAGUACUCAUAUAAAGUGGUCUACAGUGGAAUAUAACAAGGUUUACACACAAAAUGAAGUUCUGUGUUUUGGGGAUCUGGAUUUGUCUGUCAGGUGAGUUCUCAAGAGUAACUUGGCUGAGGAUUUGUUCCUCUAAAAUGAUCAGCUGCUGGUUGAUACCCUUGUUAUUCCUCACUGAUGUUCAAGUAAAGAAGUCAAUAAACAACCAGUUUCCUCUUCAUGACAUGUACAUGUGACGAAUGCAUCAUGAGAUGAAGCAUAUAAUUCUAAACAUGCAAACAAAGGGAACCAAUGUCAUGCUGAUACAACCUAAAUCAGAGUUAAUUUUAACAGCUACUGCUGUAAUCUGUUGCCAAAUUUUGAUCAGAUCAGUUUCUCCACACAAUGUGAAAGAUACGUUGUGUCUGUUUUUGAGAACUGCAUAUUUUCUGCUGAGAUAACAACAAAUAGAGGUCAUAGUUUGUCACAUCACAACAUUACUAAGCAAAUGUAUGGUGAUAUCUUAAACCACAACUAAAUCUAUUGAUCCAAAUAAUCCGAUAUUAUUAAAACACGAGUUAUAGAAAUGAAAAUGGCAUGUCUCAUGUGAAUGAUGCUGAAACAUGUUGUUUAUUGCAUCCAGCAGAAAUUGGGAUUUCAGCUACAGAUGGAACAGAUAUACAUGGAUACAGUGGAAAAGGUGUCACAAUUACAAGUUCCCACAGCUGGGCUUCGACCAACAUAAAGUAUUUCUGCAGAGCUCCAUGUAAGAUUUAUUAGUGAAAUCUGACCAGUAACCUACAGGAAGAUACAGACUGGAGGAUUUUGGAAAUGGCACCUUCACUGUGAGCAUCACUGAUCUACAGGAGUCAGACUCUGGCAUUUACUGGUGUGGAGUGAAGAGAGCUGUAACAGAAACACAUAACACAAUCAGUCUGACAAUAUCUAAAGACACAAACACAACAGAUCCACAACUCCUAAAUCAGCAGCAAGUUCUCAAUCCACAACAACAAAAAGUUCAUUCUCCACAUCUGGUGACAUCACAACCGCAUCUUCCUGAAAAGGAUUUACAGAUCCUGCCAUUUCAUCCAGACCAGCAUUUAAUGAGAGCAGUGCACAAUAUUCACUCUCCUCAGGUGCUCUGAUGUUCUCAUCUGUCGGUCUGACUGUGAUGGUGAUCAUAUUUGGGGUUGUUCUCUGUAUAUGCAAAAGGCAAAAGAACAAGUCACACAGUUCCAAUGAUGAUGCUGAAAUCCAAGGCACCACAUGUACCACAGAGACUGCUGGUGAUUAUGAGGAGAUCACAGAGACCCAACAGCGGACUGAAACACACACAAACAUCACCACUUAUUCUACUGUCAAAAUAAGUACAGCAGCCAAUCAGAUCCAAGAUCCUCCACUAUCCUCCACCCUCUCCAUUUAAUCAUAGCCCAGCUUCACCAAAUGAUCUCCAAACUCCAGUACUGAUACAGCUACUGUACAUAUGCACACUUGCAACACUUUUUACUCUUUAACUUGUGUCAGUCAGUAUAGUGGACUGUG